GACGAACGCUGGCGGCGUGCUUAACACAUGCAAGUCGAACGGAAAGGCCCCUUUGGGGGUACUCGAGUGGCGAACGGGUGCGUAACACGUGAGUAACCUGCCCUUGACUUCGGGAUAACUUCAGGAAACUGGGGCUAAUACCGGAUAGGAAUCCUUGCUGCAUGGUGGGGGUUGGAAAGCUUCGGCGGUUUUGGAUGGACUCGCGGCUUAUCAGCUUGUUGGUGGGGUAGUGUCUUACCAAGGCUUUUACGGGUAGCCGGCCUGAGAGGGCGACCGGCCACAUUGGGACUGAGAUACGGCCCAGACUCCUACGGGAGGCAGAAGUGGGGAAUCUUGCACAAUGGGCGGAAGCCUGAUGCAGCAACGCCGCGUGCGGGAUGACGGCCUUCGGGUUGUAAACCGCAUUCAGCAGGGGCGAAGCUUGUGGUGACGGUACCUGCAGAAGAAGCACCGGCUAACUACGUG
rnacentral:rRNA from 1 species